rnacentral:miRNA from 1 species
UGACUGAGAGAAUUGUGCACUU